rnacentral:rRNA from 1 species
GACGAACGCUGGCGGCGUGCCUAAUACAUGCAAGUAGAACGCUGAAGGAGGAGCUUGCUCUUCUGGAUGAGUUGCGAACGGGUGAGUAACGCGUAGGUAACCUGCCUGGUAGCGGGGGAUAACUAUUGGAAACGAUAGCUAAUACCGCAUAAGAGUAGAUGUUGCAUGACAUUUACUUAAAAGGUGCAAUUGCAUCACUACCAGAUGGACCUGCGUUGUAUUAGCUAGUUGGUGGGGUAACGGCUUAACAAGGCGACGAUACAUAGCCGACCUGAGAGGGGGAUCGGCAAAAAUGGGAGUGAGACACGGCCCAGACGCCUACGGGAGGCAGCAGUAGGGAAUCUUCGGCAAUGGACGGAAGUCUGACCGAGCAACGCCGCGUGAGUGAAGAAGGGUUUCGGAUCGUAAAGCUCUGUUGUAAGAGAAGAACGAGUGUGAGAGUGGAAAGUUCACACUGUGACGGUAUCUUACCAGAAAGGGACGGCUAACUACGUG